AAGACUAUACUUUCAGGGAUCAUUUCUAUAGUGUGUUCAAGAACACUCCAUGUAGUUUGGGGGUUACGACCUGGAGAGAUGAUGGUGUGGUAACAGUGGCACACAGUCUAGGAGGG
ensembl:snoRNA U3 Small nucleolar RNA U3